rnacentral:rRNA from 1 species
CCUACGGGCGGCAGCAGUGGGGAAUAUUGGACAAUGGGGGCAACCCUGAUCCAGCCAUGCCGCGUGUGUGAAGAAGGCCCUCGGGUUUUAAAGCACUUUCAGUGAGGAAGAACGCCUGGUGGUUAAUACCCAUCAGGAAAGACAUCACUCACAGAAGAAGCACCGGCUAACUCCGUGCCAGCAGCCGCGGUAAUACGGAGGGUGCGAGCGUUAAUCGGAAUUACUGGGCGUAAAGCGCGCGUAGGUGGCUUGAUAAGCCGGUUGUGAAAGCCCCGGGCUCAACCUGGGAACGGCAUCCGGAACUGUCAAGCUAGAGUGCAGGAGAGGAAGGUAGAAUUCCCGGUGUAGCGGUGAAAUGCGUAGAGAUCGGGAGGAAUACCAGUGGCGAAGGCGGCCUUCUGGACUGACACUGACACUGAGGUGCGAAAGCGUGGGUAGCAAACAGGAUUAGAUACCCUGGUAGUC